rnacentral:lncRNA from 10 species
AGUGGUUUCAUUCAGCGGUUACUGCAAAAGCUGUCCAGGCUAUAAAAGUAUUUACAGAGGAGAGGGAAAGAGAGCACAGUGGAGAGAUGCCUUGGGAGAGAGCUGUUACUGGCCAUGGUGUCAUUCUUCUUCCACAGGGAGAAGCAGAUCCAAACUGAGAAGGGAGAAGAUGUGAUAGUUGAUAUCACAACAAGCUUGAGUUUUGAUUAAUAUCUUGGACAGGACAUUCUAUGUUCCAAAUAGAGAUUGUGUGUUACAAAGUGACUGCAGGACCAAAAAUGAGUAGCAAAUUCAUGAACCUCUUAGAUUUUUUUAAUUUAGGACAUGAUGAGAUUACUGCCAGUGACUCAACUUUUAAAAUACAAGGAAUAACUAAAUAAAUAAAGUAAAAUUGCACUUUUAAUUGUAUUUUGAAGACAUCAUGAGCUGUGAUUCAUUCACUUCAUCUCAUAGAACUUCUGCUGGUGAUAAUUAUAUUUAAUAUUGUUACAAUCACCCCUUCCUCUCAACUUGUUGUGAUGUAUGUCCCCCCAGCCUCCUUCUGAAAGGUGAGUUAACACAGCUUAUUAGGGUGUUACAUUAGAAUCACUGUUUUGGAAAAGCCAAGCAUGGUGUGGGCUUCUGGUGUCAGAUGUGAAUGUGAGAGAUGAACAGCCAAGCUCUGCAAAUGAAACACAGCCUCACUCAUCCCCCUUCCCUCACAUGCACCACCGCCCCAUCUUCAAAGUCAGGGCUGCCUCAGCAUGUCACAGGAGGCAGGUAAUGUCAUCUUGUAAACACCAGCGAUGAGCAUGAGCCGAGACCCCCAGCAGCAGAGGAUAUAAACCGUCCUCCUGAAGCAGGAUUUAAUUACAUUCUCCGUCAGGAAAGGAAGUUGGAUUUGCUUCAGUGGAAUUGCAUUUUCUGCAUUUGGGUGAUUUGUUUAUCCUAUAAAACCAUUUCCCAGUACCACUACUGGAAUGCUGGCAACUAGAAACCUGCGUGGCUCACUCUUUAGACUGAAGGACACUCCUGUCCCCGUGUUUACAUUUCUACCUUUCACAGCCUGGCAUUCCGAGAGGCCUUUGUGAAAACAGCGCAGAGUCCUCGGGGGAAAGUGCUCAAGAUUAGUGCUAUAAAUUCUCCUCCACGGCUCUGCUACUUCAUGUUCUAUAAUAUUCCUGAAUUCCUGCAUUUCUGAGGUCAAGGGUCCUGUCUUGUUGUCCAGUGUCUCAUACUGAACAAAAUUCUCAUCUGACUCCUUUGCCCUAUUAUGUUUGGGGUGCCGGGCUGGUUCUCUGAUGAUCUCAGUCACAGCCUCUCCAUCUUUUUCAAAAACAGCAAUUUGUGGAUGAGUUGUGUGCUGGCGGUAUUUUCUUUAAACAGUUCUCUAUGUUAAAAAUGUUGCCAAUCAGAAUAUCUUCAGAUAUAACAAAUGUUAAAGUACACAAGAAGUCCUCGGUUCAGGGCUUCAAGGAACUCACCUGGAUGCAAAUCAAAGAAUCAGUUGUCAGCUUGGACAAAGCCAAGAGGUAAAGAAGUGGACAAUUUGGAUCUAGUCCUUAAGGAAUAACCAUAUGGAUUAUUUCAUGCUCAAAUGUACCCCAUUUCUAUAGCACUUGGGAAAUAUAUGAGUGUAAAUGAAUAUUUAACAACUCAUCGUUGGGAAUUUCUGAAUAUCCUCAAAUUGUAGAGAUUCCAGCCAUGGGGCUACAGACCCAAGCUAUGAAUACGUGUGUUUAGAAAAGAGAGCCUUUCUGCCCUAGUCCCAGCCAUUGUUUCUGGUGGAUGCAGCAACAUCCUCCUACCCCCUCUCCCUGAUUCUGUCUUUUGCCACCUUUAGCACAUUCCAGUGGUGCUCAAGCAGAAUGACUUUGCCCCCCAUUUGGCAAUGUCUGGAGACAGUUUUUGUUGUCAUAACUAGGGGGUAGGGGGUGACAUUAUAGCUUUAUUAGGGAGAAGCCAGGGGUGCUGGUAAACAUCCUACAAUGCAGAGGAAUCUCUGUUACAACAAGGAAUCAUCCAGUCCAAAAUGUCAGUUGUGCAGAGAAACCCUGGUGUAUUCCCACACUGCAGCAGGAACAAUCCUUUUAACAUUUACAGCAGAUAAUGUUACUCCUCUGG